AGUUACCCUGGUUAAAUUUACCAUUUUUAAAAUCCAGUGCGAACAAGGCUUUAGGCAAGUUUAACUGUAGGUGCUAUCUAUUAUAGUUCAUUUUGAAGUAUAAUACCCAUAGGGAUUAAACAAGUCACGAAUUAAAGACCUCUCCAAUUAAUGACAACUUUUCUGUGGUCCCAAAUUAGCAGAUGUCUUGUCUUUAUUAUUAUAAUUAGAGACCAAAUCUGCUAAAGACCAUGGUAAACCCAGGUCCCAAAAGUGGUCUUUAGGUGGAGAGAGAUCUGUCAUUGUUAAGCAAAUACACAUGGGACUGAUACUGUAUAUUAAAAUUACAUUUGAUCGUCAAUUAUCAUUUAAAAUCAUCAUUUAAUAUGCUGUCAAUACUUGGUAACUGUAAUGCUAUGCUUUAGAAUGGUUUAAUACUAUUUAGUACUAUACUUCAGUUUUGGGAUGGGCGGGGGUUAGUUGUAGCAGGGCACACAAGCAGAAAAGAGUAGUUUAAUAAGAUAUGAACAUUUUGUAGAUUAUAUGUAUGCUAUUUCAUAGUGGAUAUGUUAAUGGUAUUACUAUGUAAUCUGAUUUUUAGGUUUAAGAAAAGAGCACUCGUUAAGUAAUCCCUAUGAUAUUGUUUUGUUUUAUACCGUAAUAAAUAAAUCAAAGUGCAUAUUUGCACCACUUUUUGUCUGACAGAUAUUGUAGUGCACAAUGCAAAUAUCUUUUGCUCUGAAAGCCUAUGUGUGAAAUUGAAAUGGGUGCUUUUAACAAAUUAUGGUUUUAUGAUGAUACAUAGACAUCUGACUUGCAUGAAUGAAUAUUUUUAUUAGCUCUAUCUGAAAACCAUUUUACAUUUUCAGGGUUGUAGCUGUAGAAAACUAAGGGUUGGUGAUAGACAUUUUAAAGAUGGGUGGGUGAUAACAUUAGUAAACUCCAAAUAAUAAUGGAUUUUAAGAAUAGAAAAAUGGGUUAAUAAGGGUGGGCGAAGGGCCAGGAAAUUAGCUUUAGACUAGGUGGAAAACUUAAGGCUGGGUGACCUCCCAUAAAUACAUCCCUGAUUUGCAAAUGCUCAUGUGCUCUUUCUAUUAAUAUUAUUGUAAUUACUAAUAAAAUACUUUUAUUUUUAGGAAUAAUUAUGAAGUUUACAAAGCAUGAAGUGAAGAGAGAAAAUGGUACAGUAACUUGGAAUUUGGUUGUUUGGUAUAUAAUUUUUGUAAAAUAUAGCCUGUUAAAGCCAGGGUCCGAAGGGGAACAAAUUGUUGUUUUUUUUUACAUCUGAUUUCAAAGAUACAAAAUUGUGUUUGACAAGAGUAAUGACAUACAGAUUUUUAAUACUACUUAAAAAUGGUGGAGGAAGAUGUGGUUACACCCCUUUUCCUUCAGUUUUUUAAAUAUUGAAAAUCUAUCCUCCCAUUAACCAUUCUCAAAUUUGUACUUGUUUAAAUAAAAUUCUGAUUUUAUUUAUUUAUUUUUUUUUAUAGUUUUAUAUGUUUUUCUUCUGUCAAAUUGUAUUUUCACAUGGCUAACAGGAAUACAAUAUAGUCUAAUUAAAGUAUAUGUGUGAUGUUUCCAAAUACUGCGACCAUUUAAAGCUAAUUUAUUAUAUCAUACACAAGUACAAAUGUUGGAUGUCUCAUUAAUGUGUUCGUGUUACACACUAUCAUGUGUUGCAAUGAUGUUUGCAUAGUUCAACAGAUUGGACAUGAAGAAUAAGCCAUAGGAUUUCGCCCCUAGCUGAGCAACACAUUAAGUUAUAUAACAUUUGAAUUGUAUAUAAAUCUGACAUGGUUUUUCCUUCUUUCCCAAAGGCAAGUCAGAAAAUAAGACUCUGUCCUGAUUAUUCUUCAGAAAGACAAUGCAGCAGUGUCAAGUGUAAAAGAAACUGAAUCCCAGAAUAUGGCAUGUUCCUGACAAGUUAGUAGGACAAAAGAAGGUCUUGUGGCUGUUCAGGGAUCAGUUGUAGGUUUUAUCAAGCGAUUGGUUCUGGAGAGGGUUUGUGGAGGAUUAGAUGUUGAUUGGCAAAAUAACAUUCAGCCAUUGUAUUUGAAACAGUUUAAAGAGCAUUAUUGGAACAUCUUUGUCUACAGUGAUUGGUUGGACACAAUUUGCUAUAACCUGACAUUAUUUUGGUGAACAUCAGUUAAUCAAAGAUUUAUAUGGCGUUCGUAUCUAUCAUUAAUAGGGAGAUGUUUGCGGCACAUCAUGGUAAGUGGUAU